UGUCCGGUGGUGUAAUGGUAGCACAGAUGGUUUUGGUCCAUCCAGUUGGGGUUCGAAUCCCUGCCGGACAGCCA
rnacentral:tRNA from 1 species